ACGACGCUGGCGGCAUGCUUUACACAUGCAAGUCGAACGGCAGCACGGGUGCUUGCACCUGGUGGCGAGUGGCGAACGGGUGAGUAAUGCAUCGGAACGUGCCUAUUAGUGGGGGAUAACGCUUCGAAAGGAGUGCUAAUACCGCAUAAUCUCUGAGGAGGAAAGCAGGGGACCUUCGGGCCUUGCGCUGAUAGAGCGGCCGAUGUCGGAUUAGCUAGUUGGUGAGGUAAAGGCUCACCAAGGCGACGAUCCGUAGCGGGUCUGAGAGGAUGAUCCGCCACACUGGGACUGAGACACGGCCCAGACUCCUACGGGAGGCAGCAGUGGGGAAUUUUGGACAAUGGGCGCAAGCCUGAUCCAGCCAUGCCGCGUGAGUGAAGAAGGCCUUCGGGUUGUAAAGCUCUUUUGUCCGGGAGCAAGUCCUACUGGCUAAUAUCUGGUGGGGAUGAGAGUACUGGAAGAAUAAGCACCGGCUAACUACGUG
rnacentral:rRNA from 1 species